GAUGAACGCUGGCGGCGUGCCUAAUACAUGCAAGUCGAGCGAACAGACGAGGAGCUUGCUCCUCUGACGUUAGCGGCGGACGGGUGAGUAACACGUGGAUAACCUACCUAUAAGACUGGGAUAACUUCGGGAAACCGGAGCUAAUACCGGAUAAUAUAUUGAACCGCAUGGUUCAAUAGUGAAAGACGGUUUUGCUGUCACUUGUAGAUGGAUCCGCGCCGCAUUAGCUAGUUGGUAAGGUAACGGCUUACCAAGGCAACGAUGCGUAGCCGACCUGAGAGGGUGAUCGGCCACACUGGAACUGAGACACGGUCCAGACUCCUACGGGAGGCAGCAGUAGGGAAUCUUCCGCAAUGGGCGAAAGCCUGGCGGAGCAACGCCGCGUGAGUGAUGAAGGUCUUCGGAUCGUAAAACUCUGUUAUUAGGGAAGAACAAAUGUGUAAGUAACUAUGCACGUCUUGACGGUACCUAAUCAGAAAGCCACGGCUAACUACGUG
rnacentral:rRNA from 1 species